AAUCAACGCUGGCGGCGCGCUUAACACAUGCAAGUCGAACGAGAAAGUGGAGCAAUCCAUGAGUAAAGUGGCGCACGGGUGAGUAACACGUGGGUAAUUUACCUCCUUGUGGGGAAUAACCCUGGGAAACCGGGGCUAAUACCGCAUACGUCCGAGAGGAGAAAGCCGAAAGGCGCAGGGAGAGAAGCCCGCGGCCGAUUAGCUAGUUGGUAGGGUAAUGGCCUACCAAGGCGACGAUCGGUAGCCGGCCUGAGAGGGCACACGGCCACACUGGCACUGAAACACGGGCCAGACUCCUACGGGAGGCAGCAGUGGGGAAUCUUGCACAAUGGGGGAAACCCUGAUGCAGCGACGCCGCGUGAACGAUGAAGCCCUUCGGGUGUAAAGUUCUUUCGACGGGGACGAUAAUGACGGUACCCGGAGAAGAAGCUGCGGCUAACU
rnacentral:rRNA from 1 species